ACUUUUCCUCCGGCUAUGCAUUUUUCAUGGCAUUUGUCUGGAGCAUUUUCAUUCCGCAUUUCAGCAUGGUCGCUGUUCCAGUUGCUGUUUGGGCACUUUAAAGUAGCCGUAGAAGGAGGAAAAUCGGAGUAGAAAGCAACGGAAUAGCGAGCACAUUUCAAAAACAUAAACGCACAAAAUGUGUCAACCGCAAUAUGCUCGCUGUGUAAACAGGGCCGAGACGGCCACAUGCGGAAAUCACUAAAGGCACUUCCUGCACCAGCAACAAAUGCCAUAAAAAUCAUGAAAGCUCCUCCACACGUAACCCCUCCCCCUUCCCCGCCCAAAAAGCUACUACUCACCUACAGCGUGCACACAUAGAUAAGCCGGGCACGAUAAACGAGCGUUAGACUGGAGCCGAGGUCAAUAGGUCGUUCCCGUCGGUACGCCGAUAUCCUGAGAGCCAGCGAUGAUCUCGUGACACUGGUGACACCAAACUAUACAGUUGGAUAGCUUGGUUUUAGUAAGCAAGCAUGUGAUAUUCACGCAAAAUGUUUAAAAUAAUAAAUAAAUUAAAUUUACGAGUGACAGUAUAACUUGACUACGAUCCCCAUUAAACGUUCCACUCGAAAACAUAUCCUUCGUGUCCUGUUUUUCUCUAGUCCUGUCUGCAGCUCUGGCUCCACUUGGAGUUCUUGGAGCAGCCCAUUCCUCCUCAGGUGGUGAAAACUAGACGAAACUCUCCUGACGUGUUAAAUUGAAUUUGAGCAGCGCCGACGACGACGAAGAUUUGGCCUUGGUUUUGCUGCUGGAGCUGGACAUGCCACUGGAAUUGGUCUUGGUUUGUGCCUCGGGCGUCUGGUGGCCACUGGAGAAGGAUCCGCCAGGCGCUGGAGUGGCCAGCAGCAGCUGCUGCUCCUGUCCAUGGGCGCCAAGCAGUUGUCGCGUCAACUGGGAUAUGUCUCCGCCGUAGCUGCUGUCCAGGUGCUGCUGCUGCUGGUGCUGCGGAUUGGCAGGCUUGAGGGCCAGGGAUUGACGCAGCAGAUCCGGCAGAUGCCACUGCUCCAGUAGCUCCGCUCCGAGGGUCGGCGAAUCGCUGGCCAGCCGGGUGAGAGUGUGCAGAAUGGUCUUGAUGGUGCGGCGCUGGGCAUCGCUCUCCGCACGUGAGCCGUAGGUCUGGUAGAAUUCCGUUUGGUACACGGACGUGAUGAAAUUUAUGAUGACGCCGUUGGCCAAGUGGCUGUGGCACUUCUUGUUCAGCGACAUGUUGUGCAGCAUCCCAACGAUCUGCUCCU